GGUAAUAGCUCAGUGGCUGAGCAUAUGCUUAGCAUGCACAAAGUCCUGGGUUCAAUCCCUAGUACUUCCA
rnacentral:tRNA from 1 species